AACGAACGCUGGCGGCAGGCUUAACACAUGCAAGUCGAACGCACCUUUCGGGGUGAGUGGCAGACGGGUGAGUAACGCGUGGGAAUCUACCCUUCUCUACGGGAUAGCUCCGGGAAACUGGAAUUAAUACCGUAUACGUCCUGAGGGAGAAAGAUUUAUCGGGGAAGGAUGAGCCCGCGUUGGAUUAGCUAGUUGGUGGGGUAAAGGCCUACCAAGGCGACGAUCCAUAGCUGGUCUAAGAGGAUGAUCAGCCACAUUGGGACUGAGACACGGCCCAACCCCCGCGGGGGGGCAGCAGUGGGAAAUAUUGGACAGGGGCCGCAGCCCUGACCCACCCUGCCCGGGGGAGUGAUGAGGGCCUUAGGUUGUAAAGGCCCUUUCAGGGGGGAGGAAAUGACCGUACCCAAAAAAAGAACCCCCGGCAACUUCCU
rnacentral:rRNA from 1 species